ACAAUCAAAGGCUGAAACCUGUCGCCUUGGGCAAUUUGUGUAGCUGCAAGCAAGCGUGCUUGUUCUCUACGGGCUCUACGGGCCUUUUCUGCGUGUAACAGCCUGCUGUGACUUAUCACUGAACCGCGAGCGCAGCACUAUCCUACAGCAGGAACAGACUCAGCGCAGCUGCGGACAUGUUGAAAUUUAUUAUUUCUUUCGGCGCUGGAGUCUACGCGGGCGUGUAUGUAGCACGAAACUAUCAGGUGCCCCGUGUUGAUGAGCCACAAGAACUCGGCGAAAGAUAAAGG